GUCGCGGCGGCUACGCCCACCUGGACCCAGUUUACCCUGUACUGUGCUGCAAAAUAUUACUUUCUCCCCAUCUGGAAUUCUUCCCUUCCUCCUUCCUGCCGCAGUGGUGUACUGAGCACUUUCACAAAGAACAAAAUUUUAAAUAAAUUAAAAACGACACCUGUAAUUUGAGAAGAUGCUUGAUAUCAGAAGAGGAGAAGAGUGGAGAGGGGUGGAGUGGCAAAGGAGAGCCUCCAAACCAAAAGCCUGCGGCAGAGGCCCUAGGAGGCAAGCACUUAACCAUGUUUCAGGACUAGAAACGAAACAUGUGACAAGACCUUUAAAAACAAAUAGAAUGGGAUGGAAUAAAGUUGGAUGAGUAAGCAGGCAUCAAAUCAUUCAGAAACUUGUUGUCCAAGUUGAAGAAUUUGUUUAGUAUUGUAUAAUAAAUGCAGAGGAAGCUAUAUACACUUAUAAUUUACAUUUUUUAAAGGCCACGUUGUAGCUCAAUCGGAUAGUUUGUCUUUUGAUGGGAUGUAGUAUACAGUAUCAUCAUGGUAUAUUCCAGGCAAAAAUAUUUAACUUGAAUCUGUCAAGCCUUUGCAUCUAACACAGUUUAUAAAAAAUACAACAGAUAGAUGAACAAACUAAAUGAUGCCAGAGGAAGUAACUAGACAGAUCCAGAAGGUGAAACAUUCUGCAGGAUAACUGGCCCAUCUCUUCAACAAUUUGUCAUGAUAAAAGCAACUGCUUUAUGAAAAGAAAUUUAAGGGACAUAACAGUUUGAAUUGGAUCCUGGUUUGAACAGACUGUCUAUAAAAUGCAUUUUCAGGACCAUUAAAGAAAUAUGAAUGUAGAUGGACUGAGUAUUGGAUAAAAUAGAACUGUAUUGCCAUGGAAAAGAUCAUUAACUGAAAAGAGCAAGUCACGAAAUAGUAUGUUACAGCAUCUCAUUUUGGUUUAAAAAUGCACAUAUAUGUAUUUAUGUACAACUAAAAAAAUAGUGGGCUUAUACCCUAAGGUGUUAGUAUUGGUAAUCUUUGGAAGUGGAAAUGUGUAUUUUUUUCUUUGUGUUUGCCUAUCUUUUUCAUUGUAACUUUUGCAGCACAUAGACUACUUUCAUUAUAGUAAAAGUUUAUUUUACCACAAUUUUUUUUUUUUUAGAAAGAGUCUCACUCUGUCACCCAGGCUGGAGUGCAGUGGCACAAUCUCAGCCCACUGCAACCUCCACCUCCCAGGUUCAAGCUAUUCUCCUGCCUCAGCCUUCUGAGUAGCUGGGACUACAGGUGCACACCACAUGCCUGGCUAAUUUUUGUAUUUUUAAUAGAGACUGGAUUUCGCGAUGUUGGCCCGGCUGGUCUCGAACUCCUGGCCUCAAGUGAUCCACCCGCUUUAGCCUCCCAAAGUGCUGGGAUUACAGGCGUGAGCCACUGCACCCGGCCUAUUUUACCACAAUUUAUAAAAAUUUUUGUUUAUUUUAAUUAAGCUAUUCUAUGUUAAAAUAAGUAGCCACCCUUGGCUGAUGCAUAAAGAAAAAAUUAGAGGAAGGAAAGAAUGGAGGCAAGGAGGCAAAUCAUGAGACCAUUUCAGAAAUCAAGACGAAAUCAGGAAAGCUAACAUUAGCAAGAGUGAACCAAACUGAUAAUAUCUUUGAGUUUAAAACUGAAGAAUUUACCAAUGAACUGCAUAGGAAAGUAAAGAAAAGAGAGUGGUCAAGAUAGGUCCUGGUUUUGGGGCCUGAACAUCUGAGUGGUUAGUAGAAUCAUUACCAGUUGAUAACCCAUGGAAGAGGGUGGGGGAUGGGUGGUGUCUUGUAGGUUGGUUGACAGGACUGACCCAUUGGGAAGAUAACGAAGAAGCAAAGUAUAUGAAAAGAGGAGAAAGGGUAACCAGAGGAGGGAGGAUACAAAGGGAGUGAUUAGCCAUCAGAAAGAUGAGGGACAUGACAUUUGUUGAGGCAGAUGGCGGAGAAAAGAAAGUUAACAUAGAUGUGGUUAGUUUUGUGGCAUUGACCAAAGGAAGAUUAAGGUGAUACUAUCUGAUGGCUUGGAAUGAAAACCAAACUCCCUGCCACAACAUGAUGAUCUUUCUCUGCAACUUCAUAUUUUGCCUCUUGUUCCUCAUUUGUUACCACUGAGUCACAAUGGUCUUUUUAGUUUCUCAAACACACCAAGAUCUUUCUUGCCUCAUGUGACCUAGAAUGUUUUCUCCCUUUCUUCAUAUCUCAGUUGAAAGGUCUCCUCUCCUCAUCAUCAUACUAUCUAAAGUAGAUUCCCUCCCUUGUUAACCUCUAGCGCAGCCAUUAGUUCCUUCAUAACACUUACCCUAACUUGCAAGUAUUUUGUUUGUUGAUAUAAUUUUUAUCUGACUUCCCCACUAAAAUGUAAGCUCCAUGAGGGCAAAAAUUGUGUGUUUUGUAUACUGAUGCAUCUCUAGCACUUGGUAUAGCAGGCAUUCAAUAAAUAUCAUUAAAUAAGUUUCACCCUUGUAAAAAAAAAAAAUAUAUAUAUAUAAAAUAUAUUCUCUACUUCCAAAAUAACACACUUUCACCAACAACAAGCACUCCAGCUAAUUAGGCAAUAGGCCAAUAAGCAAAGAAUUAUGGUAUAUUAGUCAAGAUUGGCUAGCUUAUGUUCUGACAAUAAACAAUUUCAAAAUCUCAGUUUCAAUUUUAAACUCAAAGAUACUAAUAAACAUUUGUUCUUUGCUCACACAAAGUCUAAUAUGGAACAGGCUUAGAGUUGUCCUCCAACCAGUGUCUGAGCAAUCCAGACCACUUUGAUCUUGUAACUCUGCCAUCCCAACAUGAGAUUCCACUUUCACUGCAGAAGAGGAAAUCUGUAGCAUCAUGCAGCAGCUUGUCACUACCUCAGCCCUCCUACUUCCACUUGCAUUUCACUAGCUAGAACCUUUCACAUGGCUCCACCAAACUGCAAUGGGACUGGGAAGGGAGAAUCAGAUAUUAGGGAGCAUUUAUAAUGCCUUCCAAGGGUGUGUUUCACUGCUUCCAAACUUGCUUAUGAUGAUGUUUUUCAUUUAUGUAAUGAAAUGCCAUAUGUUCUUAGUGUGUAUUCUCAGCAUAACGAGUACAUUUGGAGAAUAUUAAGUCAGUGGACUUUCCUUCUUGAAAAUUCCUGGUUCUGGGCCUAUCAUUAACCCCACUGAUUGAACCAGUGGAAAUAGUUGCCUCUUCGAAUGGAGAGAACCCUGCUGAAGGCAGCUUUGAGUUUCAAAAUAGUGUGUUUCAAGUCCACAUGGAGACGAUAGCCUGAAAGUAAGCACUUAUGAUUUUUGGAGGAGUCUUUGUUAUUAAGGAGAAAAGAGGCUUACAGAAGUCAGAUUCAGAAGACUGUAGUAUUUUUACAAUAAAUGAGAGUAAACAGUAUAAGGAUUUGAUGUAAGGGAAGUUCCUGCAGUGCAAGAAAGAAAGUCCUUUUGGUGCUGAGCGGAACAGUCUAAGAGAGAAAAGGUGAAGAACAAAAGGAAAAUGUAAAUGUGGUAUUCACACUUCCCUACUCCACACUCAGGAUAAACCUAGAGUAUGAGGUAGAGGCGGGAAUCUAGAGGGGAGGAAGCAUAGAAUAGGAACACCCAAAUAGACUUGAUGAAACAAAAAACAUCAAGGAUGGCUCCCGUGUCACCUGGGAAGACACACUUCAUGUAAGGAAUGGAAAAAAGGCAAUGGUAAGGGACAGGGGCCCUGGAUUUUUUACAACAUGCGAUAGAGAACUAUUUGUCUCCUUAAUUUAUUUAACUUUAAAAAAUAAUAAUGAAUGAAAGAAAAAUUACCCAUUUUUCAAAUAUGGGUGUGUAAGUUUUUUCCACUUUGUACAAAAAAUUUUAAAGAAACGAAAACUGCUGAACACCUUAUAUUCAGAAUUACUCCCUGUAUAAGCCCAUUCCAAUUCCAUAUACUGCUGAUUAAAUUUCCAUCAGUUGGCAGUUCUCUAAUAUCAGUUUCACUGCUAUUUAACUAACUACUGCCCUUUGCUACCAGUGUCUCUCUUGGAUGAGAGUCACUUUACUUGAAUAAGAUAACUUCUGAGAAUAAAUCUAUGCACUAUUUUGGAAGAAUUGCUCUAUAGAGUAAAAAAUAAUUCUGGAUAAUUGAAAGUUAUCUUGUGAGUAUCUGGACAUUAAGGAUACAUUUCAAGACUCCUGUUUUCACUAAAAUCCAAUAUUUGUUUAAGCACUUCAAGUUAAAGAGGAGCACCUUCCCCUUUCACCCUGACUAUCGUUGUUAAUUCGUUUUUGAAGCUAUAUAAGAACGUUUCUUUAAUCGGUUUUCCCUUAGGCAUACAUUAGCUCUCUGUUCAAGACUUAGUAGCAGAGAGUAGUAAGUAAAUGGUUAUUAGUGGUUCUUCAUAUAAAACACAUUUGAGUUUCUUAGAAGAAAACUAUGCAUAAAGAUUACUUUCAGAUAUCAUGUCUGUAGUUCGUUAAUAGAGAAGUUUCUCUGAACGUGUGGAACACUGUAAUAAGAUAAAUAAAUUUUUAAAAAGAAAAAGUAAGCAUAUAUACAAAA
rnacentral:lncRNA from 1 species